rnacentral:rRNA from 1 species
GACGAACGCUGGCGGCGUGCCUAACACAUGCAAGUCGAACGGCAGCACGGUUAAGUACUUGUACUUAAUGGGUGGCGAGUGGCGAACGGGUGAGUAAUGCGCAGGAAUAUGCCUUAAAGAGGGGGAUAACUUGGGGAAACUCAAGCUAAUACCGCAUAAGCUCUGAGGAGUAAAGCUGGGGACCUUCGGGCCUGGCGCUUUAAGAAUAGCCUGCGUCCGAUUAGCUAGUUGGUAGGGUAAAGGCCUACCAAGGCGACGAUCGGUAGCUGGUCUGAGAGGAUGAACAGCCACACUGGGACUGAGACACGGCCCAGACUCCUACGGGAAACAGCAGUGGGGAAUAUUGGACAAUGGGGGCAACCCUGAUCCAGCAAUGCCGCGUGUGUGAAGAAGGCCUGAGGGUUGUAAAGCACUUUCAGUGGGGAGGAGGAUUGAUUGGUUAAGAGCUGAUUAAUUGGACGUUACCUACAGAAGAAGCACCGGCUAACUCCGUGCCAGCCGCCGCGGUAA